CCCCCCCCCCCUUUCUUUUUGCAUUUGGUCGCCAAUCUGAAGGAGAACAAAAAAAAAUCCCCGUCAGGUCCGAAAGUCUUCAGUCUGAUGGCUAGAGCUGGAAUCUACUGUGGUGGGAUGUGCGGAAGGACCAAAUUGUGGUCGUGGUUAUUGUGGAUUCCGGGCGAUUACUGCUGCUGAAACUAUUGGGGGAAAUAUUUAAAAAAAAACACUCGUAUCUCUUCUGGGGGAAAAAAAUUCUAAAAGUGUGUUAUUAUAGAAUCAACAUCAGUCUGCACUGUGGAGACCUGGUCAAUUUCACCUGGGGAUUUUCCUGUCAAUUUUACUUGGAAUCUAGUCAAUUUCCGCCUGGAUCGUCGGCUCGCUUGGAAUCAUUAUGGGAAUACUGGGAUAAUUUCUCCAUCUAAGUUAUAAAAGGAUUCUUCUCUUGCGGAUUUUUUUUCCUCGGUGAUUAAUACACAGACGACGUGUAUCCAGCCAUCGCCUCCUGCAAAGUGUGCUUUGCCUGGGCUUUGUGGAAUUGCUAUUGUUAAUUUUAUUGAGUUUAAACAAAUAUAUACAUACACAACCAGUCA